rnacentral:rRNA from 1 species
GACGAACGCUGGCGGCGUGCUUAACACAUGCAAGUCGAACGGAAAGGCCCCUUUGGGGGUACUCGAGUGGCGAACGGGUGAGUAACACGUGAGUAACCUGCCCUUGACUUCGGGAUAACUUCAGGAAACUGGGGCUGAUACCGGAUAGGAAUCCUUGCUGCAUGGUGGGGGUUGGAAAGCUUCGGCGGUUUUGGAUGGACUCGCGGCUUAUCAGCUUGUUGGUGGGGUAGUGGCUUACCAAGGCUUUGACGGGUAGCCGGCCUGAGAGGGCGACCGGCCACAUUGGGACUGAGAUACGGCCCAGACUCCUACGGGAGGCAGCAGUGGGGAAUAUUGCACAAUGGGCGGAAGCCUGAUGCAGCAACGCCGCGUGCGGGAUGACGGCCUUCGGGUUGUAAACCGCUUUCAGCAGGGGCGAAGCUUUUGUGACGGUACCUGCAGAAGAAGCACCGGCUAACUACGUG